rnacentral:lncRNA from 1 species
CAAACCUAACCCAACCCCAACCCCAAACCCAGCCCCAAACCCAAAUCUAAACCCCAACCCCAGUCGCUGUGGGGCACAUCCAGCCCCCUCUGGACACUUCCAUCCCCAGGGACCCUUCCCUGCCCCUUCUCCCCUCAGGGUUUGGGAGGUUCUGGACGCUCCUGGCCCUGCCCAGGCCCUCACCCAGCACCGAGCCCGGGCUACUCUCGUUCUCCCAAACGCUGGCACAGCCCUGGAGCUGCGGAGAUUCGCCUUAAAACAGGGGUCACUGCUGAGGGACCCGAAUUCCAGGAUGGGAGCUGCAUCCUCAGCCUCGUGUCAGGAAGGUGCUGCAGGAGAGCUCCAGCCCCAGCAGCAGCAGAUGCUGGGGAAGCAAACCGGACAAAGGGAAGGCCGGGAGAGGGCAGGGCCGCCCGCCGCGGAGCCCAGAUGGAGC